rnacentral:antisense_RNA from 1 species
CUUCACCGAGCCCAGCCGCAGCGGCUCGGUCCGGUCGCCGCCGUAGGUGGCGAGCAGCGCCUGGGCCUC